rnacentral:rRNA from 1 species
CAGCCGCCGCGGUAAAACGGAGGAUCCAAGCGUUAUCCGGACUUAUUGGGUUUAAAGGGUGCGUAGGUGGCCUGUUAAGUCAGGGGUGAAAGACGGUAGCUCAACUAUCGCAGUGCCCUUGAUACUGAUGGGCUUGAAUGAACUAGAGGUAGGCGGAAUGUGACAAGUAGCGGUGAAAUGCAUAGAUAUGUCACAGAACACCAAUUGCGAAGGCAGCUUACUAUGGUUUUAUUGACACUGAGGCACGAAAGCGUGGGGAUCAAACAGGAUUAGAGACCCCCGUAGUCCCUGUCUCUUAUAC